UACGUAGGCAGCGAGCGUUGUUCGGAGUUACUGGGCGUAAAGGGUGUGUAGGCGGUUCUUUAAGUUUGGUGUGAAAUCUCCCGGCUCAACCGGGAGGGUGCGCCGAAUACUGAGGGACUAGAGUGCGGGAGAGGAAAGUGGAAUUCCUGGUGUAGCGGUGAAAUGCGUAGAUAUCAGGAGGAACACCGGUGGUGUAGACGGCUUUCUGGACCGUAACUGACGCUGAGACACGAAAGCGUGGGUAGCAAACGGG
rnacentral:rRNA from 1 species